rfam:Camelus ferus unplaced genomic scaffold scaffold931, whole genome shotgun sequence.
GAGGCUAUAGCUCAGUGGUAGAGAAUGCGCUUAGCAUGCAUGAGGUCCUGGGUUCAAUCACCAGUAGCUCCA